rnacentral:rRNA from 1 species
GUUACUACGAGAGUAGUUCGACUCCGUGACGUCGAGGACGACGCUGGCGGCGUGCCUAACACAUGCAAGUCGAACGGAAAGGCCUGCUUUCCCUGUGGAUUGCGGGUGCUCGAGUGGCGAACGGGUGAGUAACACGUGAGUGAUCUGCCCCCAACUUGGGUAUAAGCCUGGGAAACUGGGUCUAAUUCCCGAUAGGACUGCAGGGUGGUGCCUGUGGUGGAAAACGAGUUUUUCUAGUGGUUGGGGAUGAGCUCGCGGCCUAUCAGCUUGUUGGUGGGGUAAUGGCCUACCAAGGCGGCGACGGGUAGCCGGCCUGAGAGGGUGGACGGCCACAUUGGGACUGAGAUACGGCCCAGACUCCUACGGGGAGGCAGCAGUGGGGAAUAUUGCACAAUGGGCCGGAAGCCUGAUGCAGCGACGCCGCGUGGGGGAUGACGGCCUUCGGGUUGUAAACUACCUUUCGACCGCGAGGAAGCCACCUGGUUGGAAGGGUGGUGACGGUAGUGGUAGAAGAAGCACCGGCUAACUACGUG